rnacentral:rRNA from 1 species
CAAUAGCGUAUAUUAAAGUUGUUGCAGUUAAAAAGCUCGUAGUUGGAUUUCUGAUCGAGACAUCAGGUCGGGUCCGAGAGGAUCAUGUACUUUGAUUUUGUUUUGAUCAUCCUUGGGGAGAGCAUUUCUGGCAUUCAGUUGUCGGGAUUGGGAUCCUCAUCGUUUACUGUGAAAAAAUUAGAGUGUUCAAAGCAGGCCUCGGCCUCUGAAUACAUUAGCAUGGAAUAAUAAGAUAGGACUUUGGUGGUCUAUUUUGUUGGUUUGCACGCCAAAGUAAUGAUUAAUAGGGAUAGUUGGGGGCAUUCGUAUUCAAUUGUCAGAGGUGAAAUUCUUGGAUUUAUGGAAGACGAACUACUGCGAAAGCAUUUACCAAGGAUGUUUUCAUUAA